rnacentral:sRNA from 1 species
UACCCUUUCAAAUAUGUAAGUUCUGUCUUCCUCAAGUGUAUUCUGGUAGUUUGAUUCACCAGCAACAGUCUCCAACGCGACCACGCCGAAUGCAAACACAUCAACUUUCUCAGUCAUAUGACCUCUCAUGGCAUACUCAGGUGCAAGGUAGCCACUGGGCAAAGUGAAGUCGACCAAUGGCAGUUAGAACAUAUCCGUCAAUAGCACAGUAACAUAGAACAGUCAGGUGAUAGAUCACUUACAAUGUGCCAGCAACUUUUGUGCUGACGUGAGUUUUCUUGUUAUCAUAGAGCUUGGCAAGCCCAAAAUCUGAAAUCUUAGGGUUGAGACCGGCAUCUAGCAAGACAUUACUGGCCUUUAUGUCCCUGUGCACGAUGCGGACGGUAGAAUCCUCGUGAAGAUAAGCUAUACCUCUUGCUAGGCCUAAGCAUAUCUCAAAUCUUGUUGGCCAAUCCAGGUUC